rnacentral:rRNA from 1 species
CCCCACUGCUAUCGGGGUGGGACUAAAACAUGCAAGUCGAGCGCCUCCAAGCUAUGGUGAAGGCGCGGCAAACGGCUCAGUAACACGUGGCCAACCUACCCUUGGGACGGAGACAACCCCGGGAAACUGGGGCUAAUCCCCGAUAAGUAAGGAAUCCUGGAAUGGAUCUUUGCUGAAAGGGCGUCUGGACCAUGCUUCUUGACGUCGCCCAAGGAUGGAGCCGCGACCGAUCAGGUAGUUGGCGAGGCAACGGCUCACCAAGCCUAUAACCGGUACGGGCCGUGAGAGCGGGAGCCCGGAGAUGGGCACUGAGACAAGGGCCCAGGCCCUACGGGGCGCAGCAGUUGCGAAAACUCCGCAAUGCGCGAAAGCGUGACGGGGCUACCCCGAGUGCCGCCCGUUGAGGGCGGCUUUUCCAUGGUGUAAGGAGCCGUGGGAAUAAGGAGAGGGCAAGACUGGUGUCAGCCGCCGCGGUAAUACCAGCUCUCCGAGUGGUGGGGGCGAUUAUUGGGCUUAAAGCGUUCGUAGCCGGCUUAACAAGUCUUCCGUUAAAUCCAACGAUCUAAUCGUUGGGCUGCGGGAGAUACUGUUGGGCUAGGAGGCGGGAGAAGCCGACGGUAUUCUCGGGGUAGGGGUGAAAUCCUGUAAUCCCGGGAGGACCACCAGUGGCGAAGGCGGUCGGCUAGAACGCGCUCGACGGUGAGGGACGAAAGCUGGGGGAGCGAACCGGAUUAGAAACCCGGGUAGUCCCAGCUGUAAACGAUGCGGGCUAGGUGUUGGGGUGGCCACGAGCCACUUCAGUGCCGCAUGGAAGCAAUUAAGCCCGCCGCCUGGGGAGUACGGCCGCAAGGCUGAAACUUAAAGGAAUUGGCGGGGGAGCACCACAAGGCGUGAAGCUUGCGGUUU